rnacentral:rRNA from 1 species
AUUGAACGCUGGCGGCAGGCCUAACACAUGCAAGUCGAGCGGAUGACGGGAGCUUGCUCCUUGAUUCAGCGGCGGACGGGUGAGUAAUGCCUAGGAAUCUGCCUGGUAGUGGGGGACAACGUUUCGAAAGGAACGCUAAUACCGCAUACGUCCUACGGGAGACGGCAGGGGACCUUCGGGCCUUGCGCUAUCAGAUGAGCCUAGGUCGGAUUAGCUAGUAGGUGAGGUAAUGGCUCACCUAGGCGACGAUCCGUAACUGGUCUGAGAGGAUGGUCAGUCACACUGGAACUGAGACACGGUCCAGACUCCUACGGGAGGCAGCAGUGGGGAAUAUUGGACAAUGGGCGAAAGCCUGAUCCAGCCAUGCCGCGUGUGUGAAGAAGGUCUUCGGAUUGUAAAGCACUUUAAGUUGGGAGGAAGGGCAGUAAGUUAAUACCUUGCUGUUUUGACGUUACCGACAGAAUAAGCACCGGCUAACUCUGUGCCAGCAGCCGCCGUAACAC